GCCCGUUGCCAUUGAGGAGCUCACGUGCAUGUCCUCUUCGUAUAUUCCACCACACUGCAGGAAUAAACUUCUGUUCCAAAGCCAUCUCUGUGUCCCUCCAUCGUGCACCAGAACACAACGCAGUAUAGCUGGGACCUGCGGAUACACUGGCAGCCCGGCUACACAAGCACGCAGGUAUGGAGGGUGACGCCGACGUCCAGUUCCUCCUGUAGGGGGGAGUAUGCAAGUCUGUGAGCCCCGCCAGUCUCUCCUCUCCUCACUCGCAACGCCUCUAACCUUGCAGCCCCGCCUGGUGGACAGGUGUCGUGGAACAGGCAGGAGGCGCAAGAUCCAGCACACUCCACCCAUGCACGUGAUGAGAUGGGAUUGUGUCGAUUGUGCACACAUUGAACAAGAAAGUGUCUCUCACCAGUGUUUAUUCACGUGUGUUUUCAAAUGUUUAUUUUGUGUAAACCCUUAACCACACACUGAACAGAUAAAGGUAAAACGGUUUUCUCCAUUGUGUGUUUUCAAAUAUUGAUUUUGUGCAAAACCAAAAUCAGACACUGAACAUGUAAAAGGUUUCUUCUUUCUUCUAGAAAGUCAAAAUUACCCAAGUCUUGACAGCUUUUUUCACAUCCUGCUGCUGUUCUUACCAGCACACUUGUGAUUGUUAAGCUGGUACUUAUAAGAGAAUCCUUUAGCACACACACUGCAACUCAACACUUUUUCACCAGUGUGUAUUCUCAUGUGUGUUUUCAAACAAUGAUUAUGUCCAAAACCCUUACUACACACUGAACAAGUAAAAGGUUUCUCACCAGCGUGUAUUCUCAUGUGUUUUUUAAAAUUUCGAUUAUGUCCAAAAGCCUUACCACACACUGAACAGGUAAAAGGUUUCUCACCAGUGUGUGUUCUCAUGUGUGCUUUCACACUAUAACUGUCUCUAAAGUCUUUACGACACACUGAACAAGUAAAAGGUUUCUCACCAGUGUGUUUUCUUGUGUGUAUUGUCAAUUGAUCC